CGGUGUGGAGAAUGCAAAGAAUGCUGGUCAAAGUAGAUCAUUCAAACGGCUGAGCCUAAAGGAAGCCAGGACUAAUUCAAACUAAUAAAGGUGUGGUAGCCAGAUAGGAAACAGGAC